UACGGAGGGUGCGAGCGUUGUCCGGAAUCAUUGGGCGUAAAGAGCGUGUAGGCGGCCUUUUAAGUCCUGCGUGAAAUCCUGCGGCUCAACCGCAGACGGUCGUGGGAAACUGGAAGGCUAGAGUGCGGGAGAGGAGAGUGGAAUUCCCGGCGUAGCGGUGAAAUGCGCAGAUAUCGGGAAGAACACCCGUGGCGAAGGCGGCUCUCUGGAACGCAACUGACGCUGAGACGCGAAAGCGUGGGGAGCAAACAGG
rnacentral:rRNA from 1 species